CAAGUAUUCAUUAUUGAUUUCGACUCAGUGAUAGGAUUAAUCCGGUACUUAA
rnacentral:tRNA from 1 species